UUCACACAGGGAACUUAGAGUUUGAUCAUGGCUCAGAGCGAACGUUAGCGGCGGGCCUAACACAUGCAAGUCGAACGAGAAUGUAGGCUUCGGUCUACUAGUAAAGUGGCGGACGGGUGCGUAACACGUGGGUAAUCUACCUUCCGGCGGGGGACAACAGUCCGAAAGGAUUGCUAAUACCGCAUACGUCAGCGGCGCCUACGGGCGCUGUUGGGAAAGAUAGCCUCUCCUUGGAAGCUGUCACCGGAAGAUGAGCCCGCGCCCCAUCAGCUAGUUGGUGAGGUAAUGGCUCACCAAGGCUUAGACGGGUAGCUGGUCUGAGAGGAUGAUCAGCCACACUGGGACUGCGACACGGCCCAGACUCCUACGGGAGGCAGCAGUGGGGAAUAUUGGGCAAUGGGCGCAAGCCUGACCCAGCCACGCCGCGUGAGUGAUGAAGGCCUUCGGGUCGUAAAGCUCUGUGGGGAGGGACGAACAAGCCCGGUAUUAAUACCACCGGGCCCUGACGGUACCUCCUUAGCAAGCACCGGCUAACCCUGUGCCAGCAGCCGCGGUAACGCC
rnacentral:rRNA from 1 species